rnacentral:rRNA from 1 species
GGUGGAGCGAUUUGUCUGGUUAAUUCCGAUAACGAACGAGACUCUGGCCUAUUAAAUAGACGAGAUAUUACUCAGUAUCUCGCGCUUCUUAGAGGGACAAGCGGCGUCUAGUCGCAUGAAAAAGAGCAAUAACAGGUCUGUGAUGCCCUUAGAUGUCCGGGGCUGCACGCGCGCUACACUGAAAGAAUCAGUGGGCGUUUUACCUGGUUCGGAAGAACCGGGUAACCCAAGUAAUUUCUUUCGUGCUUGGGAUAGGGAAUUGCAAUUAUUUCCCUUAAACGAGGAAUUCCCAGUAAACGCGGGUCAUAAGCUCGUGUUGAAUACGUCCCUGCCCUUUGUAC